CAAAGUAUAGCUUACUAAAGCCCCUCGCUUACACCGAGACAAUAUCUGUUAAACCCGGAUUACCUUGA
rnacentral:tRNA from 1 species